rnacentral:rRNA from 1 species
GGGCCCGCACAAGCGGAGGAACAUGUGGUUUAAUUCGAUGAUACGCGAGGAACCUUACCCGGGCUUGAAAUGUACUCGAAUAAUUUGGAAACAAAUUAGCUAGCAAUAGCGAGUAUGUAGGUGCUGCAUGGUUGUCGUCAGCUCGUGCCGUGAGGUGUCGGCUUAAGUGCCAUAACGAGCGCAACCCCUAUCGUUAGUUACUAACAGGUCAAGCUGAGGACUCUAGCGAGACUGCCCGCGCAAGCGGUGAGGAAGGCGGGGAUGACGUCAAAUCAGCACGGCCCUUACGUCCGGGGCGACACACGUGUUACAAUGGGAGGGACAAAGGGCCGCUACCUGGCGACAGGAUGCCAAUCCCCAAACCCUCUCCCAGUUCGGAUUGGAGUCUGCAACUCGACUCCAUGAAGCUGGAUUCGCUAGUAAUCGCGCAUCAGCCAUGGCG